rnacentral:lncRNA from 1 species
GUGGUAUGAAUUUGGGCAGGUUGGAGCCUGCCGCCUGCAGAGAUGGAGAAGAGGAUAUGAGGGCGGCGCUAGGGUUUAGGUAUCCAAGCAUGGAGACGAUGAACGGAGGGGGUUGAUUUGGGAGGAGGGAUGUAGGCUCAUUUCGGACAUAUAUAUAUAUAUCUAAUAGUGUUCAGUUCUGAUCUGUUUGAUCAAUGUGAUCCAACGGCU